rnacentral:rRNA from 1 species
AGAGUUUGAUCCUGGCUCAGGACGAACGCUGGCGGCGUGCUUAACACAUGCAAGUCGAACGGAAAGGCCCUCACCUUUUGGUGGGGGUGCUCGAGUGGCGAACGGGUGAGUAACACGUGGGUGAUCUGCCCUGUACUUCGGGAUAAGCUUGGGAAACUGGGUCUAAUACCGGAUAGGACCAUGGUUUAGUGUCUCAUGGUGGAAAGAUUAUUGUUUUGGUGCAGGAUGAGCUCGCGGCCUAUCAGCUUGUUGGUGGGGUAAUGGCCUACCAAGGCGUCGACGGGUAGCCGGCCUGAGAGGGUGGACGGCCACAUUGGGACUGAGAUACGGCCCAGACUCCUACGGGAGGCAGCAGUGGGGAAUAUUGCACAAUGGGCGCAAGCCUGAUGCAGCGACGCCGCGUGGGGGAUGACGGCCUUCGGGUUGUAAACUCCUUUCGUUAGGGACGAAGCCAUACUUUUUGGGUGUGGUGACGGUACCUUUGUUAAGAAGCACCGGCUAACUACGUGCCAGCAGCCGCGGUAAUACGUAGGGUGCGAGCGUUGUCCGGAAUUACUGGGCGUAAAGAGCUCGUAGGUGGUUUGUUGCGUCGUCUGUGAAAUUCCGGGGCUUAACUUCGGGGUGGCAGGCGAUACGGGCAUAACUAGAGUGCUGUAGGGGAGACUGGAAUUCCUGGUGUAGCGGUGGAAUGCGCAGAUAUCAGGAGGAACACCGAUGGCGAAGGCAGGUCUCUGGGCUGUAACUGACGCUGAGAAGCGAAAGCAUGGGGAGCGAACAGGAUUAGAUACCCUGGUAGUCCAUGCCGUAAACGUUGGGCACUAGGUGUGGGGGACAUUCCACGUUUUCCGCGCCGUAGCUAACGCAUUAAGUGCCCCGCCUGGGGAGUACGGCCGCAAGGCUAAAACUCAAAGGAAUUGACGGGGGCCCGCACAAGCGGCGGAGCAUGCGGAUUAAUUCGAUGCAACGCGAAGAACCUUACCAAGGCUUGACAUAUACUGGACUGCGUCAGAGAUGGCGUUUCCCUUCGGGGCUGGUAUACAGGUGGUGCAUGGUUGUCGUCAGCUCGUGUCGUGAGAUGUUGGGUUAAGUCCCGCAACGAGCGCAACCCUUGUCUCGUGUUGCCAGCACGUUGUGGUGGGGACUCGCGGGAGACUGCCGGGGUCAACUCGGAGGAAGGUGGGGAUGACGUCAAAUCAUCAUGCCCCUUAUGUCUUGGGCUUCACGCAUGCUACAAUGGCCGGUACAGAGGGUUGCGAUACUGUGAGGUGGAGCUAAUCCCUAAAAGCCGGUCUCAGUUCGGAUUGGGGUCUGCAACUCGACCCCAUGAAGUCGGAGUCGCUAGUAAUCGCAGAUCAGCAACGCUGCGGUGAAUACGUUCCCGGGCCUUGUACACACCGCCCGUCACGUCAUGAAAGUUGGUAACACCCGAAGCCCAUGGCCUAACCACCAUUUUUGGUGGGGGGAGUGGUCGAAGGUGGGAUUGGCGAUUGGGACGAAGUCGUAACAAGGUAGCCGUACCGGAAGGUGCGGCUG